UACGGAGGGUGCAAGCGUUAUCCGGAUUCACUGGGUUUAAAGGGUGCGUAGGUGGGCAGGUAAGUCAGUGGUGAAAUCUCCGGGCUUAACCCGGAAACUGCCAUUGAUACUAUCUGUCUUGAAUACCGUGGAGGUAAGCGGAAUAUGUCAUGUAGCGGUGAAAUGCUUAGAUAUGACAUAGAACACCAAUUGCGAAGGCAGCUUACUACCCGAAUAUUGACACUGAGGCACGAAAGCGUGGGGAUCAAACAGG
rnacentral:rRNA from 1 species